GAGGGUAUAGCUCAAGUGAUAGAGUGCAUGCUUAGCAUGCAUGGCAUCCUGGGUUCAAUCCCCAGUACCUCCU
rnacentral:tRNA from 1 species